GGUUAAGCGACUAAGCGUACACGGUGGAUGCCCUGGCAGUCAGAGGCGAUGAAGGACGUGCUAAUCUGCGAUAAGCGUCGGUAAGGUGAUAUGAACCGUUAUAACCGGCGAUUUCCGAAUGGGGAAACCCAGUGUGAUUCGUCACACUAUCAUUAACUGAAUCCAUAGGUUAAUGAGGCGAACCGGGGGAACUGAAACAUCUAAGUACCCCGAGGAAAAGAAAUCAACCGAGAUUCCCCCAGUAGCGGCGAGCGAACGGGGAGCAGCCCAGAGCCUGAAUCAGUGUGUGUGUUAGUGGAAGCGUCUGGAAAGGCGCGCGAUACAGGGUGACAGCCCCGUACACAAAAAUGCACAUGCUGUGAGCUCGAUGAGUAGGGCGGGACACGUGGUAUCCUGUCUGAAUAUGGGGGGACCAUCCUCCAAGGCUAAAUACUCCUGACUGACCGAUAGUGAACCAGUACCGUGAGGGAAAGGCGAAAAGAACCCCGGCGAGGGGAGUGAAAAAGAACCUGAAACCGUGUACGUACAAGCAGUGGGAGCACGCUUAGGCGUGUGACUGCGUACCUUUUGUAUAAUGGGUCAGCGACUUAUAUUCUGUAGCAAGGUUAACCGAAUAGGGGAGCCGAAGGGAAACCGAGUCUUAACUGGGCGUUAAGUUGCAGGGUAUAGACCCGAAACCCGGUGAUCUAGCCAUGGGCAGGUUGAAGGUUGGGUAACACUAACUGGAGGACCGAACCGACUAAUGUUGAAAAAUUAGCGGAUGACUUGUGGCUGGGGGUGAAAGGCCAAUCAAACCGGGAGAUAGCUGGUUCUCCCCGAAAGCUAUUUAGGUAGCGCCUCGUGAAUUCAUCUCCGGGGGUAGAGCACUGUUUCGGCAAGGGGGUCAUCCCGACUUACCAACCCGAUGCAAACUGCGAAUACCGGAGAAUGUUAUCACGGGAGACACACGGCGGGUGCUAACGUCCGUCGUGAAGAGGGAAACAACCCAGACCGCCAGCUAAGGUCCCAAAGUCAUGGUUAAGUGGGAAACGAUGUGGGAAGGCCCAGACAGCCAGGAUGUUGGCUUAGAAGCAGCCAUCAUUUAAAGAAAGCGUAAUAGCUCACUGGUCGAGUCGGCCUGCGCGGAAGAUGUAACGGGGCUAAACCAUGCACCGAAGCUGCGGCAGCGACGCUUAUGCGUUGUUGGGUAGGGGAGCGUUCUGUAAGCCUGCGAAGGUGUGCUGUGAGGCAUGCUGGAGGUAUCAGAAGUGCGAAUGCUGACAUAAGUAACGAUAAAGCGGGUGAAAAGCCCGCUCGCCGGAAGACCAAGGGUUCCUGUCCAACGUUAAUCGGGGCAGGGUGAGUCGACCCCUAAGGCGAGGCCGAAAGGCGUAGUCGAUGGGAAACAGGUUAAUAUUCCUGUACUUGGUGUUACUGCGAAGGGGGGACGGAGAAGGCUAUGUUGGCCGGGCGACGGUUGUCCCGGUUUAAGCGUGUAGGCUGGUUUUCCAGGCAAAUCCGGAAAAUCAAGGCUGAGGCGUGAUGACGAGGCACUACGGUGCUGAAGCAACAAAUGCCCUGCUUCCAGGAAAAGCCUCUAAGCAUCAGGUAACAUCAAAUCGUACCCCAAACCGACACAGGUGGUCAGGUAGAGAAUACCAAGGCGCUUGAGAGAACUCGGGUGAAGGAACUAGGCAAAAUGGUGCCGUAACUUCGGGAGAAGGCACGCUGAUAUGUAGGUGAAGUCCCUCGCGGAUGGAGCUGAAAUCAGUCGAAGAUACCAGCUGGCUGCAACUGUUUAUUAAAAACACAGCACUGUGCAAACACGAAAGUGGACGUAUACGGUGUGACGCCUGCCCGGUGCCGGAAGGUUAAUUGAUGGGGUUAGCGCAAGCGAAGCUCUUGAUCGAAGCCCCGGUAAACGGCGGCCGUAACUAUAACGGUCCUAAGGUAGCGAAAUUCCUUGUCGGGUAAGUUCCGACCUGCACGAAUGGCGUAAUGAUGGCCAGGCUGUCUCCACCCGAGACUCAGUGAAAUUGAACUCGCUGUGAAGAUGCAGUGUACCCGCGGCAAGACGGAAAGACCCCGUGAACCUUUACUAUAGCUUGACACUGAACAUUGAGCCUUGAUGUGUAGGAUAGGUGGGAGGCUUUGAAGUGUGGACGCCAGUCUGCAUGGAGCCGACCUUGAAAUACCACCCUUUAAUGUUUGAUGUUCUAACGU
rnacentral:rRNA from 1 species